UACGUAGGGACCGAGCGUUGUCCGGAAUCAUUGGGCGUAAAGAGCGUGUAGGCGGCCACUUAAGUCCUGCGUGAAAUCUUGCGGCUCAACCGCAAGCGGUCGUGGGAAACUGGGUGGCUAGAGUGCGGGAGAGGAGAGUGGAAUUCCUGGUGUAGCGGUGGAAUGCGCAGAUAUCGGGAAGAACACCCGUGGCGAAGGCGGCUCUCUGGGACGGUACUGACGCUGAGACGCGAAAGCCAGGGGAGCAAAGCGGG
rnacentral:rRNA from 1 species